CAAAGGAAUUGACGGGGACCCGCACAAGCGGUGGAGCAUGUGGUUUAAUUCGAUGCAACGCGAAAAACCUUACCACUCCUUGACAUGGAAAUUAUACCUAUUCGAAGGGAUAGGGUCGGUUCGGCCGGGUUUCACACAGGUGUUGCAUGGCUGUCGUCAGCUCGUGUCGUGAGAUGUUGGGUUAAGUCCCGCAACGAGCGCAACCCUCAUCCUUAGUUACCAUCAGGUAAUGCUGGGGACUUUAAGGAGACUGCCAGUGAUAAACUGGAGGAAGGUGGGGAUGAUGUCAAGUCAUCAUGGCCCUUAUGGAGUGGGCUACACACGUGCUACAAUGGUGGCUACAAUGGGCUGCAAAGUCGCGAGGCUAAGCCAAUCCCUUAAAAGCCAUCUCAGUUCGGAUUGUACUCUGCAGCUCGAGUGCAUGAAGUUGGAAUCGCUAGUAAUCGUGGAUCAGCACGCCACGGUGAAUACGUUCUCGGGUCUUGUACACACUGCCCGUCACGCCAUGGGAAUUGGUUUCACUCGAAGCUAACGACCUAACCGCAAGGAGGGAGUUAUUUAAAGUGGGAUCGGUGACUGGGGUG
rnacentral:rRNA from 1 species